UACAGAGGGUGCAAGCGUUGUUCGGAUUUACUGGGCGUAAAGCGUGCGUAGGUUGUACUAAGAGUCAUAAGUGAAAUCCCUGGGCUUAACCCAGGAGCUGCUUGUGAUACCUUAAUACUAGAGUGUGGAAGGGGAUGGUAGAAUUCCCAGUGUAGCGGUGAAAUGCGUAGAGAUUGGGAGGAAUACCGGUGGCGAAGGCGGCCAUCUGGUCCACAACUGACACUGAGGCACGAAAGCGUGGGGAGCAAACAGG
rnacentral:rRNA from 1 species